rnacentral:rRNA from 1 species
CCUGGCUCAGGACGAACGCUGGCGGCGUGCUUAACACAUGCAAGUCGAACGAUGACCCGGAGCUUGCUCCGGUGAUUAGUGGCGAACGGGUGAGUAACACGUGAGUAACCUGCCCUUCACUCUGGGAUAAGCACUGGAAACGGUGUCUAAUACCGGAUACGACCUCCGACCGCAUGGUCAGGGGGUGGAAAGAAUUUUGGUGGAGGAUGGACUCGCGGCCUAUCAGGUAGUUGGUGAGGUAACGGCUCACCAAGCCGACGACGGGUAGCCGGCCUGAGAGGGUGACCGGCCACACUGGGACUGAGACACGGCCCAGACUCCUACGGGAGGCAGCAGUGGGGAAUAUUGCACAAUGGGCGAAAGCCUGAUGCAGCAACGCCGCGUGAGGGACGACGGCCUUCGGGUUGUAAACCUCUUUUAGUAGGGAAGAAGCGAAAGUGACGGUAC